GAUAACUGGCUUGUGGCAGCCUAGCGUUCAUAGCACCAUCGCUUUUUGAUCCUUUGAUGUCAGCUCUUCCUUUCAUUAUGAAGCAGAAUAUUUAAGAGAAGAUAAACUGGAGGAGCAAAAUCAGUCAGGAUCCAGCACUUAAAAAAAAAAAAAAAAAAACAAACCCAGAGUACUGUAAAAGUAGCUAAGUUUACACAGUUUGCAGAAUGAU
rnacentral:ncRNA from 1 species